AUUACCCCGCAGUUGUAGCGUAAGCUUCUAGUGAUCGUAAGCUUCAAUAAUGUAAACGCGACUUUUCAAAUUAAAAAAAAAAAAACUGUCAACAUCGUACGCAAUUGUUUCAUUGUUAGGUCUUUUUGAAAGGAGGCAACGCAACAAAUAACAUUCAGUUCUCCGCAGGGAACUAAACAAGGCUGUUGAGAAAGAUUGGUCUACCUCACAAGAGAAUUUGAAGGGAAGACAUUUAAGGAGAGGACUCUAGCGCAACCAUGAAGCGUUUUUUUUUCUUCAUGAUAACUUGGGCCUUGGUGGCGGCAGUCCCUCGUGACAACCGAGCUCGGGAUGAAAACCAAGACAAAGACCGUGGUAAGUGUAUCAGCCGUCUUCCUUUAGCAAUUGUAAGUAGCAGUAGAACAUUAAUUUUUGUUUCACUUUUUUAUUCUUGUAAAUUGCUGCAAUAUUGUUGCUAACAUUUUGUACUAUAUCAAACAUUACAUCUAAUAAGCUACACGCUUGGAUAUGGACGUUACAUUCAAGUUAUGGUGGUGGGAGUUAACCAAAUUAUAAGCCCCAAAUUCUCUUCCAUCGACGUAAAAAAAAAUCAUAAGCGUAAAAACGUACCAUUUGUUCCCUGUCAGCGUCCACUUGGAAUUUAGUUUUUUACCAAUUAAUAGUUUGACCGCAAGAAAAGUUAAUAUGAUUAUUUUUUCCCAAGAGGGCACGGUAACGAAUCCUGCAAUCUGACUGACUCUUAGCGCGGUCUGGAUUUUUCUACGUGCCGUCUACAAACCAGCGCAAAAAAUCUAACGAGCUAACUAGCGAUUAACCUAGAUACUAGACAAAGAAAGGUGUAUUAAAUAGCAGAUUUAUUUCGAACUAAUUUAUGAUAGUUGCAUCUAGUUCAAUUAAUUUCUCCAAAAUUGUUUUCCCGGCGUGGAAUUUCGUGCAAAGAUUGAAGUUUUACUUCACAGUUGAUCAUUUUUUUUUUAGUUUCUGAUCCAAGAAGAACAAAUCCUGUUUUUCCGUUAUGCUUAAUUAUUGCAGUAAAAAAUCAAGAGCUCCGCUUUUAGACCUGGCUAAAUCUAUCGCCGCUUUUCAUGUG